ensembl:snRNA U6 U6 spliceosomal RNA
GUGCUUGCUAGGGCUGCACAUAUACUAAAAUUGGAUCGAUACAGAGAAGAUUAGCAUGGCCCCUGCGAAAGGAUGACACACAAAUCCGUGAAGCAUUCCAUAUUAAA